rnacentral:tRNA from 1 species
CCUGUAGCUCAGUGGAUAGAGCAAUAGCCUCCGGAGCUGUGUGCGCAGGUUCGAUUCCUGUCAGGUG